rnacentral:sRNA from 1 species
UGCGAUGGUAAAAACGAGAUGCCGGUC